ensembl:lncRNA
AAAACAUUGUAUGUUUAAUCAUUGCAAAGUACUGUGCUUGCGGAUGUGUUUUGGGUAUUAUCUUUGCCGCCUCUUGUUGAGCUGUAAACUGCUGUUGUCCUGUAGUGCGGCCGUUUCCAGCUGAUGCUUGGUGAGCUUACAGAGGGAGCCAGGACCGAGCCCCACGCAGUUGUGACUGCUGCACUCGCCUUUCCCCUCUGUGUUCCCACAAGCACAAAACACGGGUCAGUCUCUGACCAAACGUGGAACAUCCUGCAGAUGCCUGAGAUGGAGUGACCCUCUCUGUUGUCCAUGGUGCAGCAGGCAGCAGGUGCAGAUGACCCUGUGGGUGCAGAUGACCCUGUGGUCCAUAACCCUCAGGCCACUCUCCAGUUGCCACCAACAUUUAGCUCACUGUCCUUGAGGUCCUCAGCAGCCUUGAUGCUCCUCCAGCCAUGCAGGAGACCACACCAGGCCUGCACCAGAGGCCUCCGAUCGUCUCACUGGAAACUACAACUGAG